CAGUGCCAUUGACACAAACAAAAUACUGGAAACAGAAUUUCUGCUGCAGAGAGACAGUCAACAAAAUUCCCGUCGUCGAUGGUAUUGAUUAUGCAAGUGAGGACAUGUUCUAAGCAUGUUCAUUGAGUGGCUCACCUGUGUGGUGUGAACACUGAGUGAAUUGUCACAGCCAACGAAGCGUAUCUUUUAAUUAUAUAGGUGUGUGGUGAGUUGACAAGAAGAGGAUGUACUCGGUAAGCGGACUACGUGUCCGCUAAAAGGAGGCGGUGGAACAGAGAUUCAGUCUCGCCUACAGAUUCAUGAUGGGUCUCCGUUUACUUGUCAGCAGGACACUGAAGCAACCAUAGACUGAGACUGCUUCAUCUACAGUACUUUAUACCCGUAACAACCUGUCUUACUCUAAUUCAUUAUUUAUGAACUACACUUGUAGAAUAUACCUUAAAUCCUGCAGUUUAGACUAGACUAUGCAGAUUGUCCAAAAACGUGCCAAAUGAAUCUCUACGUGCCUUGUGAGGGAGUCUACUCACAAACCUGUACAAUCUAGACAUUGAACCUUUAGUUACCCCUGUCAACAAUAAUUAAUGAAGGACAUCAUUUGUUUGGUCAGCACUGACCAGUCCCCUUCAGCCAAGUGUUGAUGACCAGUAUCCUUGGAUUGGACUAAACAGUGAUUGCAACUACAGUUCAUUGUCUGCCAUUUAAUUGCAUUUUUUUUCCUGAACCUGUUGUUUGGGUUGAGACAGUGUUGCCUGGUAAUAUCCUUACUGGGAGUGAAAUAAUUCCAAAUAUUCUGAUUGACUUUUGUAAACAAUGUCAACAAGAAGUCAAUUAUUUGUGUAGCUGUUAGCUGAACACAUUGUUGGGAAAGCUUUUAUGAUAACGCCGAAUCCCAAUAAAUUUGUUGCCUAGAGGAGAGUUCUUUUGUUCCAGUAUUACCUUGCACAUUCCUGCUAGCUACAACAUUACACUUGGAGAUAUUUUCUUUUUGACUCAUCCCAACGGAGGUGUUUAACUCUUUGCGUUCAUCAACUAUGUGUGUAUUGUGAUCAACUUCUUAGUAAUCAGCUUGAAUACUUCAAGAAUAUCUGCUGCAACUGAGACCAUAAAAGACUUCAAGAAAGGCAGAGACUUGUCGGAGAGACUUGCAGUGCAAAGGAUCAGAAACUUCCUCCUCUGUCUGUAUUUGUUGGAGAGGUGCAAAGGAAGUUCUUACAUCUAAGGGAAGUGUCUCAACAUCAGUUGCCUGAACUUUGUCUAAGAACUGUGCACUGAUCAGCAUUGAAGUAGCUGUAGAUGUGAAGCUCAAAAGCUUGUUAAUCUGAAGUGAGUUUAUUCUACACUUGAUCUGUCUGCAACAUUAAUGAGCCAGAAAUGAGGUCAGCACUCUGUGGUGCAACUAAUGUUGUCGAACCCAACUCUUCUUUACAGGGGUUUGGAUCCACCAACAGUAACAGUAUGCAGAAGAUUCUUCGCUCUCCAGGAACGAUGAAGAAGAAAUUAAACAAUGCUAAGACGUUUGGCGUUCCUUUGAAGGAGCUAGCAAGGGGCCCUAAAGGAGUCAGGGUGCCACUCUUUAUUAGGAAGAUAUGUGACUUCAUCCAGAUGCAUGGCAUUGGCCAUGAGGGAAUCUUCCGUAUCAAUGGCAGUACUCGAGUCGUCGAUAAGAUGAAAGCUAUAAUUGAUAAGACUGGUGAUACAGACUUUGAGGAGGCUGGUGACGUCAUGGCUAUAGCUAGUCUACUUAAGAUGUUUCUAAGGGAGUUACCAGACCCUAUUAUGACCGAGACACUUCAUCAUCAAUUUAUCAAUGUUCAGCAGACUUUCCAGUCCAAUCACGAAGAGUGCGUCAGACAACAGAAGAAUUUGAUUCAACAGCUUCCUGAGGAACAUUACAUCGUACUUCAGUACUUAAUCCGCUUUCUUGUCAUGGUCGCACAGUACGAAUCAACUAAUAAAAUGAACUCUAUGGCACUGGCAAUUGUCUUUGGCCCUAACCUAUUCAGGUGUAGCGCAGGACUAGACGGUCUCCGUGAACAAGGAAUCACAAACAUCAUCGUCCGGACACUAAUCGAGGAAUACGACACCAUCUUCAAAUCCGAUGUUAAAGAUGAGAGUUCAUCACCACCAUCGUCGACCUCAGUGGGGUCAAAGUGCAUACAAGUACAGGCCACUACAUCCAAGAGGUCACCACCGGUCAAACCUGCACCGUACCAUGAUUAUGUGCGACAGAAGGAAGAGAGAAGAAGGAGAUUUGAUUCUGAAGAAACCAAAGACAUAAACAGUAAUUCUUACGCAGACACUGAUAGGGAAAUUCUCAAGAAACCAGAUGAAGGCCGAGACUGCGACUCGCCCAGUUAUCUGCUAAGUCCUCGAGAUGUAGGUGUGGAAGAGAGGGCUUUCUCUCCAUUCAACUUAGAUAGUGAGACAGGGACAAGUACAGCUCCUUCACCGGUCAUUAAUGACAUUGCAUCUGAAUUGGUAGAAAAGACUAUUCAGGAGACGGUUUCUCAACAUCUAUUUGGUCAAAGCCCCGAACCAGACCGAGAUGAAGCAGUUCUUUCUCCAACACCAGCAGUAGUAGCACCUGUGCCUUCACCAAGAAGAAGAUGGCAAAAGACUCAGGAAGAGGAGCAAGAGGAAAGCAAAGAUAACCUUAAUGGCACUGAUUUCCCUGAUGGGCGGAGUCCCUCCCCAAUUGAGGAGAUCUUCACAUCCGUUCAAGAUCGCAUCCGAUCAUUUGCUACUUCAGGACCCUCCACCUCAGCGCCUGAUAAUAAAUCUCCAGAAAGUUCACCCAAGGUCAAGCGGAAACACUACCCAUCCUCAAAAGCUUUUGAAUUAUUUGAGAGUAAAGGAAUAGUCAUCGGCCCUGGAAGUAAUGAGCUUCCGGCACCCAAAAGGAAACAACCAACGACCUCAGCAGUUCAACAAAUCAAGGAAGACCCAAGAACAAACAGUCGUAGUCCGCCAUCAAGAAGUAAAGCCCCAGAGCCACCGUCUCGACCCUCCAGAACGAAAGCAAAUCUAUUAAAAUCUAAAAAUCAUGAUCAGAACUCUCCAGAAUCUAGGUCACCCGUGUCUGGGUCACCGAGGUCAAAAUCACCGAGGUCAGAUUCCCCGAGGUCAAAAUCGCUGAGGUCAAAUUCACCAAGGUCAUAUUCUCCAAAGUCUGACUCUCCUAAGUCGAGAUCUCCGAGAUCCCAAUCACCAAGAUCACAAUCACCAAGAUCACAAUCACCAAGAUCUAAACCAUUUAGUAGCAGUAGAUCUAAUACAGACACGCAUCAUCUAGCCAGCAAGUCGUCGAUUGGAAACAUUGAUGCGGAUUUUGACAGUCUUUCAUGCAACUCACCAACACUGAAAUCGUUGACAGCAGGAAGAAUAGCACCUCCCAGGAAUAGAAGAUCUCCCUCAAAAAGGAAAUCAAAAUCUGAAAUAAACAAGCCGGAGGAGGAAGAAGAAGACGCCACCAGCCUGCCGUUCACCGAGCAGCUCUCCAUCCUCAUCCCAGGCACCCAGUCUACCCUACAAGAGUUUCCAGAUAACACCCCUCAGCCCAAACCAAGAAAGAAACACUCCCACCCUGUUCUGAGUUAUCCCCACCAAGCAUUCGAUGACAGCCACAUCUUGUCGGGGGAGCUGGGCGCCUUAAUUAAUGGGAAGGAUGCUGGGCAGUUAUCUCCACCACGGUCACCGCUAAGACGUGAUCAUACGGUCCCACCGCUGAAUCUAACCAGUCUACAUGAAUAUGCAGAUGGGGAAGAACCGAUUCCAGCUUGGAAAGCAAGGCACCAUUUCCAUGACAACAGUCAAGAGGCUAUGUUAUCCCCACGCUCACUCAAACUGCAGACUAUCACUCAUCUUGCUGAACAGCAACGAGAAGCCCCAUUAUCUCCAAGGGCUGGAGUUAAACCUUUCAACUUCACCAGUGUGUCACAUGACACGGAUGUUCCACCCUCCCCACCGUCAGCGCAGUCCAUACUGCUGGGUUUAUCCAAGAGAGCUGAUAAGCUUCAAGAGGAGACUGAUCUAACCACAGUGAAGCAACUAACUAAACAAAUACGAGUAUUAAAGAGAAAGAUGCGACAGUAUGAGGUAGAGUUUGAAGAGGAGCGCGGCUAUAAGCCAUCUCAUAAUCACAAGACGUCUCAACCUGAGAUUAAGAAGAUGAUGGGAGAGCUAAAGAGAGCAAAUAGACAGCUUAAAGAAGCCAAAGAGAAUGCAGCUAAAGCUAAGGUACCAUUAUCCUCCACCCUACCAUCCGAUAUGCUGUGCGGACGCAGCCUCUCACAGCAGUAUGAGGAUGAAGGCGCAUCAAGUCUUGAGAUGGCUCUACUUGAAACGGAAGAUAGACUUCAAGAAAAGAGAGACGAAGCUCAAAGACCUGAUGAUAUAUUUAUGAUGAACAAAGAACAGGUACAGGAGGAGAAGACAGCGAUCCAGAAAGCUUUAUUACAAAUGGAAAAUAAAUAUGGCAGACCGAGUACCAGGGAAGCCAAGGAGUUGAUGAAGCCUUUGUACGACCGUUAUAGGAAUGUUAAGAAACUACUAGUCAGAUUGGAUCUUAGACAGCCUGAUGAUGGGCAACCUGUGGAUUUACAAACCAUUAAAGAACAUGAAGAAACUAAAGAAUUCCAGCCCAAACAAAUGGGUCAGAUUCACAGCCUGUAUCGUGAGGAUGAAGAAUCUGAAGAGAUGCAAACAACGGAUUUCACUGUCACUCAGGAUGUGAAGGGACUUCUGAGUCAUAUAGACCUGGAUGAUAGCUAUCCUAGUCCUGCUGAGAGUCGACGGAGUAGUAGUGGAGGGAGGGAAGAGACUGCUUCGGAAAUGGCCUCCAAUCUCCAUGAGGCAUCAUUAAGUGAAUUAUUAGCCAGGCAGAAUCAGUCUAGAGAAGACAAGAAGAGACUACGCAAAAUCCUCAAAGAGUUUGAAGAUAACUUCUUCAAGGAGUCAGGUCGCCAUGUACAGAAGGAGGACCGAAUCCCAAUGGAAGUUCAGUAUAAUGAAUAUAAGCAAAUCAAGGCUAAGCUUCGUCUUCUAGAUGUGUUGUUGUCCAAGCGCAUUGAGUGCGCAUAGUGGGCUUUGUAGUUAAGAGUGACUGUACAGUGUUAGUUGUAUCCCAGUUCUGUCUUACUUUGCAUCUUAAGAAACAUCAGAAGUUAUUAGAAGCUCUUGUUGCCAAGCAUCAGACUCAAGGAUCACCUCUUGAAGAGACUACACGA